rnacentral:rRNA from 1 species
GGACUAACAGGCUGGUCGCGCCUUCGGUGUGUACUGGUCUAGUUGGUUUCUCCCUUCUGAUGAACCACGAAGUCAUUAAUUUGGUGUCGUGGGGAAUCAGGACUGUUACUUUGAAAAAAUUAGAGUGUUUAAAGCAGGCUAACGUCUGAAUACAUUAGCAUGGAAUAAUGAAAUAGGACG